GUGUUGAUGUCGAGUCUGACGGAGCACGCCGCGUGAGUGAUGAAGGUUUUCGGAUCGUAAAACUCUGUUGUUAGGGAAGAACAAGUACCGUUCGAAUAGGGCGGUACCUUGACGGUACCUAACCAGAAAGCCACGGCUAACUACGUGCCAGCAGCCGCGGUAAUACGUAGGUGGCAAGCGUUGUCCGGAAUUAUUGGGCGUAAAGCGCGCGCAGGCGGUUUCUUAAGUCUGAUGUGAAAGCCCCCGGCUCAACCGGGGAGGGUCAUUGGAAACUGGGGAACUUGAGUGCAGAAGAGGAGAGUGGAAUUCCACGUGUAGCGGUGAAAUGCGUAGAGAUGUGGAGGAACACCAGUGGCGAAGGCGACUCUCUGGUCUGUAACUGACGCUGAGGCGCGAAAGCGUGGGGAGCGAACAGGAUUAGAUACCCUGGUAGUCCACGCCGUAAACGAUGAGUGCUAAGUGUUAGAGGGUUUCCGCCCUUUAGUGCUGCAGCAAACGCAUUAAGCACUCCGCCUGGGGAGUACGGUCGCAAGACUGAAACUCAAAUGUUUGUGGAACGGGGGA
rnacentral:rRNA from 1 species